rnacentral:rRNA from 1 species
CAGCAGCCGCGGUAAUACCAGCUCCGCGAGUGGUCGGGACGAUUAUUGGGCCUAAAGCGUCCGUAGCCGGCCUAGCAAGUCUCUGGUUAAACUUCAGGGCUUAACCUUGAGAUUGCUGGAGAUACUGCUAGGCUAGGGGGCGGGAGAGGUUGAGGGUACUUCACGGGUAGGGGCGAAAUCCUAUAAUCCGUGAAGGACCACCAGUGGCGAAGGCGCUCAACUGGAACGCGCCCGACGGUGAGGGACGAAAGCCAGGGGAGCAAAGGGGAUUAGAUACCCCCGUAGUCCUGGCUGUAAACGAUGCGGGCUAGGUGUUGGGUUGGCUUCGUGCCAACUCGGUGCCGCAGUGAAGGCGAUAAGCCCGCCGCCUGGGAAGUACGGCUGCAAGGCUGAAACUUAAAGGAAUUGGCGGGGGAGCACCACAAGGGGUGAAGCCUGCGGCUUAAUUGGAGUCAACGCCGGGAAUCUUACCGGGAGCGACAGUAGUAUGAAGGCCAAGCUGACGACUUUGCUAGACAGACUGAGAGGAGGUGCAUGGCC